GAUGAACGCUGGCGGCGUGCCUAAUACAUGCAAGUCGAGCGAACAGACGAGGAGCUUGCUCCUCUGACGUUAGCGGCGGACGGGUGAGUAACACGUGGAUAACCUACCUAUAAGACUGGGAUAACUUCGGGAAACCGGAGCUAAUACCGGAUAAUCUAUUGAACCGCAUGGUUCAAUAGUGAAAGACGGUUUUGCUGUCACUUAUAGAUGGAUCCGCGCCGCAUUAGCUAGUUGGUAAGGUAACGGCUUACCAAGGCAACGAUGCGUAGCCGACCUGAGAGGGUGAUCGGCCACACUGGAACUGAGACACGGUCCAGACUCCUACGGGAGGCAGCAGUAGGGAAUCUUCCGCAAUGGGCGAAAGCCUGACGGAGCAACGCCGCGUGAGUGAUGAAGGUCUUCGGAUCGUAAAACUCUGUUAUUAGGGAAGAACAAAUGUGUAAGUAACUAUGCACGGCUUGACGGUACCUAAUCAGAAAGCCACGGCUAACUACGUG
rnacentral:rRNA from 1 species